UGGGAUCCCGCGUCAUGCUGAUCCGCGAUUACUAGCGAUUCCGAGCUUCAUGGAGUCGAGUUGCAGACUCGCAAUCCGGACUACGAUCGGUUUUUUGAGAUUAGCAUCCCCUCGCUGUGUAGCAACCCUUUGUACCGACCAUUGUAGCACGUGUGUAGCCCUGGCCGUAAGGGCCAUGAUGACUUGACGUCAUCCCCGCCUUCCUCCGGUUUGUCACCGGCAGUCUCCUUAAAGUUCCCAACUUAACUCGCUGGAAAAAAAGGAAAGGGUUUGCUCUCUUUGCGGGAUUUACCCCAACAUCUCAAAACACGAUCUGACAACCCCCAUGCAACCCCUGUAUGUAAUUCCCCAAAGGCACCAUCCCAUCUCUGGAAAUUUCUUACUAUGUCAAGGCCAGGAGGAUUUCUUCGGAAUAAGUGCUUACCCUGUUUAAACACAGC
rnacentral:rRNA from 1 species